UAACACGUAUCCAACCUGCCGUCUACUCUUGGACAGCCUUCUGAAAGGAAGAUUAAUACAAGAUGGCAUCAUGGGUUCACAUGUUCACAUGAUUAAAGGUAUUCCGGUAGACGAUGGGGAUGCGUUCCAUUAGAUAGUAGGCGGGGUAACGGCCCACCUAGUCUUCGAUGGAUAGGGGUUCUGAGAGGAAGGUCCCCCACAUUGGAACUGAGACACGGUCCAAACUCCUACGGGAGGCAGCAGUGAGGAAUAUUGGUCAAUGGGCGAGAGCCUGAACCAGCCAAGUAGCGUGAAGGAUGACUGCCCUAUGGGUUGUAAACUUCUUUUAUAAAGGAAUAAAGUCGGGUAUGCAUACCCGUUUGCAUGUACUUUAUGAAUAAGGAUCGGCUAACUCCGUGCCAGCAGCCGCGGUAAUACGGAGGAUCCGAGCGUUAUCCGGAUUUAUUGGGUUUAAAGGGAGCGUAGAUGGAUGUUUAAGUCAGUUGUGAGAGUUUGCGGCUCAACCGUAAAAUUGCAGUUGAUACUGGAUAUCUUGAGUGCAGUUGAGGCAGGCGGAAUUCGUGGUGUAGCGGUGAAAUGCUUAGAUAUCACGAAGAACUCCGAUUGCGAAGGCAGCCUGCUAAGCUGCAACUGACAUUGAGGCUCGAAAGUGUGGGUAUCAAACAGGAUUAGAUACCCUGGUAGUCCACACGGUAAACGAUGAAUACUCGCUGU
rnacentral:rRNA from 1 species